CGGAUGAUACAUUUAAUAUGUACAGGUAGUCCGCAACCUAUGACUAUAAUUGGAACUAUAAUUUCUACUUCUGAGCAAGGAAACUGUUAAAGGCUGGUCAGAAGAUUGCAAAUGACGACCUCAGGAUACUGAACUGUUAUAAAAUACCUGCUGGCAGUUGCCAAUGUCCGAAUUUUGAUCAUGUGACUGUGGGUAUGCUGCAAUGGCUG